rnacentral:lncRNA from 1 species
GUUAGCUUGGAAAGGUUUCCUAUGGAGGGAGGGAGGGAUCCUGUGAAGUGGUUUUCAAAUAGCUGUAAUUGAGUUAGCUCGGAAAGGUUUCCUAUGGAGGGAGGGAGGGAUCCUGUGAAGUUGUUUUUAGAUAGAUCUAAGUAAGUCAGCUUGGAAAGGUUUCCUAUAAAGGGAGGGAGGGAUCCUGUGAAGUUGUUUCCAGAUAGAUCUAAGUAAGUCAGCUUGGAAAGGUUUCCUAUAAUGGGAGGGAGGGAUCCUGUGAAGUUGUUUCUAGAUAGAUCUAAGUAAGUCAGCUUGGAAAUGUUUCCUAUGAAGGGAGGGAGGGAUCCUGUGAAGUUGUUUCUAGAUAGAUCUAAGUAAGUUAGCUUGGAAAGGUUUCCUAUGAAGGGAGGAAGGGAUCCUGUGAAGUGGUUAUUGUAUAGAGACAAUGUACUAAGCAUGAAAAGCUUUCCAAUGGAGGGAGGG